GGGCGUUUAGCUCAGCUGGUAUAGAGUGCCUGCCUUACAAGCAGGUGGUCGUAGGUUCGAAUCCUACAACGCCCA
rfam:Haloalkaliphilic bacterium ACht6-1 contig00015, whole genome shotgun sequence.